CACCAUUGGAGAUCUGAAGACACGAGCAUUAAGUUUCUUUCCUUCAGUAAACGAUCCAGACAGACUGAGGGUGAUUUUUGGUCCAAAUGAGCUUGAAGACAGUCAAACGUUUGAAUCGUGCGACAUUGAACAUCUGUCUGUGCUGAUAAUCGUGCUCCAGGUGCCUGGUGGUCGAGAGUCCUGUGAAGAUGUACUGUAGCUGGAGGAAUAGCCCUGUGGGACACACAGCAGCACUUUAUGCACAUUUAC